AAGAGAACACAGCUUUUUAAGAUUUUUUUUCUAACAGGAUUUCUGAUUUUGGUCAGAAAACCCCC
ensembl:snRNA Gm23779 U7 small nuclear RNA